CCUACGGGUGGCAGCAGUGGGGGAUAUUGCACAAUGGGGGAAACCCUGAUGCAGCGACGCCGCGUGCGUGAAGAAGCCCCUCGGCGCGUAAAGCCCUGUCAGCAGGGAAGAAAAUGACGGUACCUGAAGAAGAAGCCCCGGCUAACUACGUGCCAGCAGCCGCGGUAAUACGUAGGGGGCAAGCGUUAUCCGGAUUUACUGGGUGUAAAGGGGGCGCAGACGGGGAUGCAAGACAGGAGUGAAAGCCCGGGGACCAACCCCGGGACUGCUCUGGAAACUGGGUGGCUUGAGUACAGGAGAGGCAAGCGGAAUUCCUAGUGUAGCGGUGAAAUGCAUAGAUAUUAGGAGGAACACCGGUGGCGAAGGCGGCUUACUGGACUGAAACUGACGCUGAGGCUCGAAAGCGUGGGGAGCAAACAGGAUUAGAUACCCCUGUAGUC
rnacentral:rRNA from 1 species